rnacentral:RNase_P_RNA from 1 species
UGAGCGAGCCGGGUGAUCGCUCCGAGCAAUCGGGGAGGAAAGUCCGGGCUCCGUAGGGCAGGGUGGUUGCUAGCGGCAACCGGCUCGAUUCGUCGGGCUAGGGAAAGUGCCACAGAAAAGAAAACCCUCACGCGUACUUGCUGCGCAAGUCCGCUAGAGGAGAGCUGAAACGGUGGUGUAAGAGACCACCAGCUCCGUCGUGAGGCGGAGGCUUGGCAAACCCCACCUGGAGCAAGGCCGAAUAGGGGAGGGCUGAAGCUGCCCGCUGACCUCCCGGGUGUCGCCGCAUGAGCCGCACGGCAACGUGCGGCCGAGAUAGAUGAUCACCUCCGCUGCCGUCAGGCGGCGAAGACAGAACCCGGCUUACAGGCUCGCUCGAUUC